GGAGUUUGGUCCGUGUCUCAGUACCAAUGUGGGGGACCUUCCUCUCAGAACCCCUACUGAUCGUCGGUUUGGUGGGCCGUUACCCCGCCAACUGCCUAAUGGGACGCGAGCCAAUCCGACACCGAUAAAUCUAUUAAACAAAAAUCAUGCGGUCUCUGUUGUUACGGAGUAUUACGCGACGUUUCCAUCGACUAUCCUCCAGUAUCGGGCAUGUUGCUCACGCGUUACUCACCCUUUCGCCGGUCGCCGCCAGAGUAUUGCUACUCCGCGCUGCCCCUCGACUUGCAUGUGUUAAGCCUGCCGCUAGCGUUCAUC
rnacentral:rRNA from 1 species